rnacentral:rRNA from 1 species
GGCGCACGGGUGAGUAACACGUGGAUAAUCUGCCCAAUGAUCCGGGAUAACACUUCGAAAGGGGUGCUAAUACCGGAUAAGCCCACGGGCUCUUCGGAGCUUGCGGGAAAAGGUGGGGACCUUCGGGCCUACUGUCAUUGGAUGAGUCCGCGGCCCAUUAGCUAGUUGGUGGGGUAAUGGCCCACCAAGGCGACGAUGGGUAGCUGGUCUGAGAGGAUGAUCAGCCACACUGGAACUGAGACACGGUCCAGACUCCUACGGGAGGCAGCAGUGGGGAAUUUUGCGCAAUGGGGGAAACCCUGACGCAGCAACGCCGCGUGAGUGAUGAAGGCUUUCGGGUCGUAAAGCUCUGUCAGAGGGGAAGAAACUCACAAAGGAUAAUACCCUUUGUGACUGACGGUACCCUCAAAGGAAGCACCGGCUAACUCCGUGCCAGCAGCCGCGGUAAUACGGAGGGUGCGAGCGUUGUUCGGAAUUAUUGGGCGUAAAGCGCGUGUAGGCGGUCUGUUAAGUCUGAUGUGAAAGCCCGGGGCUCAACCCCGGAAGUGCAUUGGAUACUGGCAGACUUGAGUACGGGAGAGGGAAGUGGAAUUCCGAGUGUAGGAGUGAAAUCCGUAGAUAUUCGGAGGAACACCGGUGG